rnacentral:rRNA from 1 species
GGCCUGUGAGGGUUGCUGGAGGUAUCAGAAGUGCGAAUGCUGACAUAAGUAACGAUAAAGCGGGUGAAAAGCCCGCUCGCCGGAAGACCAAGGGUUCCUGUCCAACGUUAAUCGGGGCAGGGUGAGUCGACCCCUAAGGCGAGGCCGAAAGGCGUAGUCGAUGGGAAACGGGUUAAUAUUCCCGUACUUGGUGUUACUGCGAAGGGGGGACGGAGAAGGCUAUGUUGGCCGGGCGACGGUUGUCCCGGUUUAAGCGUGUAGGUGUGUGUUCCAGGUAAAUCCGGUUCACUUUAACACUGAGGCGUGACGACGAGGCACUACGGUGCUGAAGCAACAAAUGCCCUGCUUCCAGGAAAAGCCUCUAAGCAUCAGGUAACAUCAAAUCGUACCCCAAACCGACACAGGUGGUCAGGUAGAGAAUACCAAGGCGCUUGAGAGAACUCGGGUGAAGGAACUAGGCAAAAUGGUGCCGUAACUUCGGGAGAAGGCACGCUGACACGUAGGUGAAGUGAUUUACUCAUGGAGCUGAAGUCAGUCGAAGAUACCAGCUGGCUGCAACUGUUUAUUAAAAACACAGCACUGUGCAAACACGAAAGUGGACGUAUACGGUGUGACGCCUGCCCGGUGCCGGAAGGUUAAUUGAUGGGGUCAGCGCAAGCGAAGCUCCUGAUCGAAGCCCCGGUAAACGGCGGCCGUAACUAUAACGGUCCUAAGGUAGCGAAAUUCCUUGUCGGGUAAGUUCCGACCUGCACGAAUGGCGUAAUGAUGGCCAGGCUGUCUCCACCCGAGACUCAGUGAAAUUGAACUCGCUGUGAAGAUGCAGUGUACCCGCGGCAAGACGGAAAGACCCCGUGAACCUUUACUAUAGCUUGACACUGAACAUUGAGCCUUGAUGUGUAGGAUAGGUGGGAGGCUUUGAAGUGUGGACGCCAGUCUGCAUGGAGCCGACCUUGAAAUACCACCCUUUAAUGUUUGAUGUUCUAACGUGGACCCGUUACCCGGGUUGCGGACAGUGUCUGGUGGGUAGUUUGACUGGGGCGGUCUCCUCCUAAAGAGUAACGGAGGAGCACGAAGGUUGGCUAAUCCUGGUCGGACAUCAGGAGGUUAGUGCAAUGGCAUAAGCCAGCUUGACUGCGAGCGUGACGGCGCGAGCAGGUGCGAAAGCAGGUCAUAGUGAUCCGGUGGUUCUGAAUGGAAGGGCCAUCGCUCAACGGAUAAAAGGUACUCCGGGGAUAACAGGCUGAUACCGCCCAAGAGUUCAUAUCGACGGCGGUGUUUGGCACCUCGAUGUCGGCUCAUCACAUCCUGGGGCUGAAGUAGGUCCCAAGGGUAUGGCUGUUCGCCAUUUAAAGUGGUACGCGAGCUGGGUUUAGAACGUCGUGAGACAGUUCGGUCCCUAUCUGCCGUGGGCGCUGGAGAACUGAGGGGGGCUGCUCCUAGUACGAGAGGACCGGAGUGGACGCAUCACUGGUGUUCGGGUUGUCAUGCCAAUGGCACUGCCCGGUAGCUAAAUGCGGAAGAGAUAAGUGCUGAAAGCAUCUAAGCACGAAACUUGCCCCGA